rnacentral:lncRNA from 1 species
GCUCUUCUGGCAAAAGGCUGUGGUCGGCUAACCCUGAGGUUUCUAGGAUAACGAGAGCACUCCCUUUAAUCGCUUCACGAAGACACCCUCAAACUCUAGCGUACUCUGCAGUUAGCACCUCAAUCAGACCCAGAGCUCUGUCCGCGAGCCACAGGAUACAGUCAGAGCUCUAGUUGGGCUCAUCUGGCGAUGCCACUUAACAGACUUAAAGCAAGUGGGUAAAAAUAAAGCGGUACAGAGCAGGGGCAAAAGCCAAGGAAUCUCCAGUGCAAGUUCAAGUUAGCCAAGUUUUGUCUUCCUCCCGACUCACUCUUAGGGUGGCCGGGAGUGGGGGUCCUGGAGUAGCACCGACACCGCCUCCCGACCUCCCUCAGGAACUCCGAAGGGAAGGGUGACACUUUCAGGGCGCGCUUCCUUAAGACAGCCCAGACGUUCACCCCGUCCCAUCUCGCGCCACACUCCCGGCCGCAGAAAACAGCACAAGGACAAGAACCGCAACGGCUCAGGGGAUCGUCAUCUUCUCCUGACUGCCAUCACCCCGGGAGUCUCCAUCCCUGCGCACACCGGAGUUCGCAGACGUUUCCUGUAUUUGACCGAGCGAGUCUGGGUAUCCUGAUGAAAACCUGUUUACUACCUGCUCUUGACGGACUCCACUGCUUGAGUGAAGCUGUUUCAGGAGAAGCCCAGACUGAGGCCUGAGAAGAGCCUACCACGUGUGGGUUGCCCAUGGCUCUUACUGCCAUGAGCUGAUGGGUGGGAGAGCAGAUAAAAAGAUCUACAAGUACCUGACAUAUCAGUCCAAUAAACAGUCCAUUUGAAUCCAUUUUGCCCUUUUAUUUAUUACCUGACUGACAGGUACGUGUGCAGUUUAUAAGUUCCCUG